UGGGGAAUUUUGGACAAUGGGCGCAAGCCUGAUCCAGCCAUGCCGCGUGCGGGAAGAAGGCCUUCGGGUUGUAAACCGCUUUUGUCAGGGAAGAAAUCUUCUGGGUUAAUACCUCGGGAGGAUGACGGUACCUGAAGAAUAAGCACCGGCUAACUACGUGCCAGCAGCCGCGGUAAUACGUAGGGUGCAAGCGUUAAUCGGAAUUACUGGGCGUAAAGCGUGCGCAGGCGGUUGUGCAAGACAGGUGUGAAAUCCCCGGGCUUAACCUGGGAACUGCACUUGUGACUGCACAGCUGGAGUACGGCAGAGGGGGAUGGAAUUCCGCGUGUAGCAGUGAAAUGCGUAGAUAUGCGGAGGAACACCGAUGGCGAAGGCAAUCCCCUGGGCCUGUACUGACGCUCAUGCACGAAAGCGUGGGGAGCAAACAGG
rnacentral:rRNA from 1 species